rnacentral:rRNA from 1 species
CCUACGGGAGGCAGCAGUAAGGAAUAUUGGUCAAUGGACGCAAGUCUGAACCAGCCAUGCCGCGUGAAGGAUUAAGGUCCUCUGGAUUGUAAACUUCUUUUAUCUGGGACGAAAAAAGGCGAUUCUUCGUCACUUGACGGUACCAGAUGAAUAAGCACCGGCUAACUCCGUGCCAGCAGCCGCGGUAAUACGGAGGGUGCAAGCGUUAUCCGGAUUCACUGGGUUUAAAGGGUGCGUAGGCGGGCAGGUAAGUCAGUGGUGAAAUCCUAGAGCUUAACUCUAGAACUGCCAUUGAUACUAUCUGUCUUGAAUAUUGUGGAGGUAAGCGGAAUAUGUCAUGUAGCGGUGAAAUGCUUAGAUAUGACAUAGAACACCUAUUGCGAAGGCAGCUUACUACGCAUAUAUUGACGCUGAGGCACGAAAGCGUGGGGAUCAAACAGGAUUAGAUACCCUGGUAGUCCACGCCCUAAACGAUGAUUACUCGACAUUUGUGAUACACUAUAAGUGUCUGAGCGAAAGCAUUAAGUAAAUCCACCUUGGGAAGUACGACCGCAAGGUUGAAACUUCAAAGGAAUUGACGG